GACGAACGCUGGCGGCGUGCCUAACACAUGCAAGUCGAACGGAACUGUUUUGAAAGAUUUCUUCGGAAUGAAUUUGAUUUAGUUUAGUGGCGGACGGGUGAGUAACGCGUGAGUAACCUGCCUUCAAGAGGGGAAUAACAUUCUGAAAAGAAUGCUAAUACCGCAUGACAUAUCGGAACCACAUGGUUUUGAUAUCAAAGAUUUUAUCGCUUGAAGAUGGACUUGCGUCCGUUUAGUUUGUGGGUGAGGUAACGGCUCACCAAGACCGGGAUCGGUAGCCGGAGUGAGAGGUUGGACGGCCACAUUGGGACUGAGACACGGCCCAGACUCCUACGGGAGACAGCAGUGGGGGAUAUUGCGCAAUGGGGGCAACCCUGACGCAGCAACGCCGCGUGAAGGAUGAAGGUUUUCGGAUUGUAAACUUCUUUUAUUAAGGACGAAAAAUGACGGUACUUAAUGAAUAAGCUCCGGCUAACUACGUG
rnacentral:rRNA from 1 species